rnacentral:rRNA from 1 species
UACGUAGGCAGCAAGCGUUGUUCGGAGUUACUGGGCGUAAAGAGUAUGUAGGCGGUUGGGUAAGUUUGGUGUGAAAUCUCCCGGCUUAACUGGGAGGGUGCGCUAAAGACUGCCUGGCUCGAGUGUGGGAGAGGAAAGCGGAAUUCCUGGUGUAGCGGUGAAAUGCGUAGAUAUCAGGAGGAACACCUGCGGUGUAGACGCUUCUGGUACCAUAACUGACACUGAGGCACGAAAGCCGGGGGAGCAAACAGG